ensembl:Y_RNA Y_RNA Y RNA
GGCUGGUCCGAAGGUAGUGAGUUAUCUCAAUUGAUUGUUCACAGUUACACAGAUCGAACUCCUUGUUCUACUCUUUCCCCCCUUCUCACUACUGCACUUGACUAGAAAA